rnacentral:rRNA from 1 species
AUACGUAGGGUGCGAGCGUUGUCCGGAAUUACUGGGCGUAAAGAGCUCGUAGGUGGUUUGUCGCGUCGUCUGUGAAAUUCCGGGGCUUAACUCCGGGCGUGCAGGCGAUACGGGCAUAACUUGAGUACUGUAGGGGAGACUGGAAUUCCUGGUGUAGCGGUGAAAUGCGCAGAUACCAGGAGGAACACCGGUGGCGAAGGGGGGUCUCUGGGCAGUAACUGACGCUGAGGAGCGAAAGCAUGGGUAGCGAACAGGAUUAGAUACCCUGGUAGUCCAUGCCGUAAACGGUGGGCGCUAGGUGUAGGGGUCUUCCACGACUUCUGUGCCGUAGCUAACGCAUUAAGCGCCCCGCCUGGGGAGUACGGCCGCAAGGCUAAAACUCAAAUGAAUUGACGGGG